GCGGUCCGGUUUUUUUUUUUGUUGAUGUUUUGUUGUUUUUUUAAACUCUGAGAUUCGGAGAAGCUCUCGGGCUGGGCGGGUGACGUGGAGCUGUUUUGAGAAGCAUGUCGGUGGAUGCUGACUUCACCCAGUCCUACAGACAGAACUUUUACCUUCAGCUACACCUGUGCCUACACCUACCCUCCUCCAGCCUCUACCUCAAACCUACCUCCCACCCACCUGACGCAGACCCACAGCUGAGCUUUAACAUGUGGAGGAGAAUCUGGGCCUGGCUUCGUAGCCCCUGUACAUGGCCUCCCUGCGUUCCUCUGACCCCUGAGCCGACCGGCAGGUGUAAAAGCACAUCUUCACCUGCGUCCUUUCGUCAAAACGGACCUAACGACCUGCCCGCUGCCCGUUUCUGUCACACCUGGGGCAUCUGCCACAGCUCUGCCAGGUACUCAGGUAAGCGCUCUGUCUCACCUGGCGAAAACUUCAAACAGCAUUCGCACCCGGGUUCACAGCUGAGACACAUUUCUCUGUAUUAUUUUACUGUGAGAUUUUUUAAAUCUUUCGACAAAUAUGUGAAUUUAUUGUCCCUCCCCCAUUUCUUUACCCUUCGAGUGUCUAGUUUCGUCUCCUGUCUUCCUCAUCUGUCACUGACAGCACUUCCCUUAUUUUCAUAUGGUUCCACACCCUGCAAGUUUACUUUUAUCGAGCUUCAUUUGGUUUAAACUUGGUUUUCUUUCCUAUUUAAAUUUGGGGAUAAGUUUGCUGAGAGCAGUUCUUUUGUUGCUGUUGUGUUUGUUUCUUUUCUGC